rnacentral:piRNA from 1 species
UGCUGCAAACAUUGUUGAAUUUCCAU